GAUGAACGCUGGCGGCGUGCCUAAUACAUGCAAGUCGAGCGAACAGACGAGGAGCUUGCUCCUCUGACGUUAGCGGCGGACGGGUGAGUAACACGUGGAUAACCUACCUAUAAGACUGGGAUAACUUCGGGAAACCGGAGCUAAUACCGGAUAAUAUAUUGAACCGCAUGGUUCAAUAGUGAAAGACGGUUUUGCUGUCACUUAUAGAUGGAUCCGCGCCGCAUGAGCUAGUUGGUAGGGUAACGGCUUAUCAAGGCAACGAUGCGUAGCCGAACUGAGAGGGUGGUCGGCGACACUGGAGCUGGGACACGGUCCAGACUCCUACGGGAGGCAGCAGUAGCGAAUCUUCCGCAAUGGGCGAGAGCCUGACACAGCGACGCCGCGUGAGUGGUGGAGGUCUUCGGAUCGUAAAACUCUGUUAUUAGGGAAGAACAAAUGUGUACGUAACUAUGCACGUCUUGACGGUACCUAGUCAGAAAGCCACGGCUAACUACGUG
rnacentral:rRNA from 1 species